UUAAGGAAACAAAGACAUCAAUGGAGUGUCAAUAAGGAGGUUAACUGAAAUAUCAUAAGAUCUCAGAUAGAGCUCAACAUUCAGGGAGUACUUCUCUUCUUCAAGAAAUGAAAUUUUGUAUCUCAUUCUAAAGUUAUAUGGGCAACAACAGGACAAAAGAAGAUGGGUUUGAUAACAAGGGAAGUGCGGACAGAAAGCAGCAGGCGGGGAGCAGUAAGCUUGUUUGCAAAGGUUCAGACUGGGCAAGGUUCUGCAGACAGGAUUAGAUAGACCAUUGAAAGUUUGUUGAGGUGCAAGGCCCUGGGGCAACGUUGGGACGUGAUGAAGGAUAAAGCAGGGCAAUUGUUUGCAUAAAGGGGAAAGUCGUUUUUUCUCUUUUGACUCUUCUUUCUGUUUGCCUACAUAUGCUAUGAGGAAAUAACCUAAAAUAAUAAUUCUGACACCCAAAAGAAACAAUACAAGAGAUCUGUGCGUCAUUUCAAGCACACUUGUCUCUAUCUUUUGUCUCUUUGGUGUAAUUUAAAAGCUGUAAAUGACUUGGAGAGCGAAAAAGAGUUCUUUCGCUCCUCGAUCCCUACUAAAUGUUGCAAUUUUGUAUACCAA